rnacentral:rRNA from 1 species
UACAGAGGUCCCAAGCGUUGUUCGGAUUCACUGGGCGUAAAGGGUGCGUAGGUGGUGGGGUAAGUUUGAUGUGAAAUCUCCGAGCUUAACUCGGAAAUGGCAUUGAAUACUAUUCGACUAGAGGUUUGGAGGGGGGACUGGAAUUCUCGGUGUAGCAGUGAAAUGCGUAGAUAUCAAGUGGAACACCAGUGGCGAAGGCGAGUCCCUGGACAACUCCUGACACUGACGCUGAGUGCGCGAAAGCCAGGGGAGCAAACGGG